rnacentral:rRNA from 1 species
UACAGAGGUCUCAAGCGUUGUUCGGAUUCAUUGGGCGUAAAGGGUGCGUAGGCGGUGCCGUAAGUCGGAUGUGAAAUCCCGGGGCUUAACCCCGGAACUGCAUUCGAUACUGCGGUGCUCGAGGACUGGAGAGGAGAUUGGAAUUCACGGUGUAGCAGUGAAAUGCGUAGAUAUCGUGAGGAAGACCAGUGGCGAAGGCGGAUCUCUGGACAGUUCCUGACGCUGAGGCACGAAGGCCAGGGGAGCAAACGGG